rnacentral:rRNA from 1 species
GAUGAACGCUGGCGGCGUGCUUAACACAUGCAAGUCGAACGGAAAGGCCCAAGCUUGCUUGGGUACUCGAGUGGCGAACGGGUGAGUAACACGUGGGUGAUCUGCCCUGCACUUCGGGAUAAGCCUGGGAAACUAGGUCUAAUACCGGAUAGGACGAUGGUUUGGAUGCCAUUGUGGAAAGUUUUUUCGGUGUGGGAUGAGCUCGCGGCCUAUCAGCUUGUUGGUGGGGUAAUGGCCUACCAAGGCGUCGACGGGUAGCCGGCCUGAGAGGGUGUACGGCCACAUUGGGACUGAGAUACGGCCCAGACUCCUACGGGAGGCAGCAAUGGGGAAUAUUGCACAAUGGGCGCAAGCCUGAUGCAGCGACGCCGCGUGGGGGAUGACGGCCUUCGGGUUGUAAACUCCUUUCGCUAGGGACGAAGCGUUUUUGUGACGGUACCUGGAGAAGAAGCACCGGCUAACUACGUG